rnacentral:misc_RNA from 1 species
UCCGAGUUGACCCCGGCAGUCUCCUACGAGUCCCCGCCAUAACGCGCUGGCAACAUAGAACGAGGGUUGCGCUCGUUGCGGGACUUAACCCAACAUCUCACGACACGAGCUGACGACAACCAUGCACCACCUGUAAACCGGCCCCGAAGGGAAACCCUGUUUCCAGGGUGGUCAGGAACAUGUCAAGCCCAGGUAAGGUUCUUCGCGUUGCGUCGAAUUAAACCACAUGCUCCGCUGCUUGUGCGGGCCCCCGUCAAUUCCUUUGAGUUUCAACCUUGCGGCCGUACUCCCCAGGCGGAGAACUUAGCGCGUUAGCUACGACACCGAGAGGCUAAUCCCUCCCGACAUCUAGUUCUCAUCGUUUACGGCGUGGACUAC